UACAGAGGUGGCAAGCGUUGUUCGGAAUUACUGGGCGUAAAGGGCGCGUAGGCGGCCUUCUAAGUCAGACGUGAAAUCCCCAGGCUUAACUUGGGAACUGCGUCUGAUACUGGGAGGCUUGAAUGCGGGAGAGGGAUGUGGAAUUCCAGGUGUAGCGGUGAAAUGCGUAGAUAUCUGGAGGAAUACCGGUGGCGAAGGCGGCAUCCUGGACCGACAUUGACGCUGAACGGCGAAAGCUAGGGGAGCAAACGGG
rnacentral:rRNA from 1 species